rnacentral:rRNA from 1 species
CAGAUACCCAUGACGUAGAAUCGCAAGUUUCGAAUCGUAAUCAGGUUCGAUAAUAGACAUGGGGCAUAGUAUUACUGUCCAGGGUGAUCUGACUUGUUAAAGACUACCUAGCGAAGCAUGGCCAGAGCUUCAUGAUCAGACGAAAGGAAGGGAUCAAAGACAAUCAGAAACUGUCGAGUCCUAUCAUAACUAGCGACUAGGAAUGGAAUGGAAAAACGACCAAUAUCAGUACUAUGAGAAUCUAGUCUUGGGUUAUGGGGGAGUACGGUCGCAGACUGAACUAAAGAAAUGACGGAAGGGCACCACCAGGAGUGGAGCCUGCGCUUAAUUUGACUCACACGGGGGAGAGGUGGGCAGGUCCACACACCGUACCGAUGACAGAUGAUAGCUCUUCUUGAUGCGAGGGGUGGUGGUGCAUGGCCGUCUUAGUGGUGGGUGUUUUGUUUUGUUUUUUUUUCGGUGUCUUGGCCCUUACUUGCUAAAUAAGUCGUCCUCAUUUUAUGGGGUAUGACUUCUUAGAGGGGACUAUGCAUAUCAAGUGCAUGGAAGUUUGAGGCAAUAACAGGUCUGUGAUGCCCUUAUAUGUCCUGGGCUGCACGCGUGCUACACUGAUGCAUACAACAAGUGCCUAGCUAGACAUAGUAUGGCAAUCUGGAAUAUGCAUCGUGAUGGGGAUAGAUCUUUGCAAUUAUAGAUCUUGAACGAGGAAUUCCUAGUAAGUGCAAGUCAUCAUAAAACAUAGAUUAUGUCCCUGCCCUUUGUACACACCGCCCGUCGCUCCUACCGAUACCUCCUUCCGGUGAACCUUUGGCCCCAAUAGGAAAAAAAGAACUACCAAGAAAUCGUCUUUGAGCUUUAACACAAAUAGGUGAGGGGCUCGAGC